GUUCGUGUGCGGCCGUUAGACAUAAUACAAAAACUGGACUAUCAUUCACUACCAAAAAAAGACAAGAAGCUGUAGAAAAGAAAAUGGCACAUAAGGGAUACUAGCAGAAGAAAAAAACAACGCUGCCCGUGGGAAAUCUGCAUCAUAGAGUUGUACAUAUAUAUUGGCUAUAAUGCUAUACUUGGAAGCGUCGUGGGAGUAUUGAGUAUGUCAAACUAUAUAUAACUAUGCUUAUAUAACUAUGAUAUCUAAACAGCGUCUCACGUGACAUGAAUAGCAGCAACAUCAUCCGGUUGUUGAGCUGCACUAGGAUCCAUUUGGAAAUGUUGUUUAUUAUUUGUUGGUAGUUGAGAGGCGAUUGAGUUCUAGCCCUGCAUAAACAAGUGUUAUCCAGGUGGUUUAUUGGCAGAGUGGUUGUAGAGGAAAUGAUACAUGUCAGACCGUAUUUAUCUAAACAAACGAAUGAUAAAAUGCUUAACGAAAAAAUACGCAAGGACAGAUAUAUAGCAGGUAAUAUAAAUCAUGCAGACUGUACAAAGGACGUGAGAAAUAUCCUCAGCAAUAUCUCAGCGAAUACGUAAAAUGUUUCCAUGAAAUGGAGGAUUGAAAAAGAAAUUUGAUUCCGGUAACUGUCAGGCACAGCGCCUCAACUGCAUUUCCUGGGAAUGACACAAACAAAUCGUGUCGAUAUGAAAAUAUGUUUAAAUUGCAUAAGGUA